UACGUAGGUGGCAAGCGUUGUCCGGAAUUACUGGGUGUAAAGCGCGUGUAGGCGGGAGGCCAAGUCUGCUGUGAAAUCGCUCGGCUCAACUGGGCGGGGUCGGUGGAAACUGGUCACCUGGAGGACGGUAGAGGCGAGUGGAAUUCCCGGUGUAGUGGUGAAAUGCGCAGAUAUCAGGAGGAACACCAAUUGCGAAGGCAGCUCGCUGGGACGUUACUGACGCUGAGACGCGAAAGCGUGGGGAGCAAACAGG
rnacentral:rRNA from 1 species